rnacentral:lncRNA from 1 species
UGGGGUCCACCAAUGAUUGUGCCGUCGUACGAGCAAUCCCUGUUAAAACGAAUAUUUCCCAACCAACCGAUUAUUUUAUAACAACUUGCUUACUUUGCAAAAUUUAUAAAUAUUACCCACAACUAUAAUAAUAUAACAAAUCCACACCAUAACACCAUAAUAUUCAAAAAUAUAUUUCGAGAAAAAUUAAUCUUUAUUCAUAAAAGUUGGGGUCUUACAAUAUAGCUUCAGACGCUUUAUUGUAAGCUACUUCAGCUGACACUUCUUCCUUCAUAUCCUCUUCAAACUGAAGAUCCAUGCCUAGAUCACUCUCUAUUAGCACAACAGAUUUCAGCUCAGGUACUAGCUCAAGUGGAGAAAUUAGCUCCUUGUUCACUAUGGAAACAUUUUUCAUCUACAUUUAAAUAUAUUAUCUUUAUUAGUACAUAAUAAAAAAUCAUAUUUCAUAUAUCAAAUAACAAUUUAUUUUAUGUUAUCUUUACUUUUUCCUCAAUUUCUUUUGAUGAAUUCCUAUAAUUUAUCUCCUAAAAACUCGUCCUGAGUUUAUCUUCUUACUAUCUUCUCUAUUGCUCUAAUUCCUCCAAGGUUAUAGCCUAAAGUGUUCUCACCUAAGGUUUCUAACCUACAACUCUAAUACCAAUAUGUGACGCUCAUGGAUAUACCAUAACACCUCACAUGGACACCUAUUAGCUAGCCACCUACAACUUAUGGCGUCCUCUACAAAGAGUUUGGCUUUCGUGCCUCCCUUUCUAAGGACGUCACCAGCGAGAAGUUCGGGGCUCUUCACACUAACUUGUGCAUAUAGCUCUAAUACCAACCUGUGACGCCCCCAAAUCUGAGUUUAAGGAAUAAUAUUUUCUUCCAUACUCUGUAGUAUGUGAGUAAAUUAGUAGAAUAUUCUUGAAAUUUGCGCUUCAUCUAGUAUCAUUUCACAAGGAUAUUUUCUGCACGUUCUUGUUAAAUUUUAAGCUUUUCAUGCCGAAGUACUGUCCAUGAGUAGUAUUCAUUUAUACGUUACUAUUCACAAAGUACUAUUCACGGGGUACUAUUCAUGGGUACUAUUCAUAAAGUACUAUUCACAAGUACUAUUCACAAAGUACUAUUCAUGGGGUACUAUUCCUGAAGUACUAUUCAUAAAGUACUAUUCAUUUGGGUACUAUUCACCUGGGGAAUUAUUCAUGACAAAAAUUGAUUUUUUUCAGUCCAAAUCAUUUUUGAUACAAUAUUAUUCUUGAAUUUUACUCCACAAAGCAGUAUCAUGUUGACAAUUUGGACAUUAUGAAUUCUGGAUAAAUUAAAUUAUAAAUAUUUAAAAAUUUAUCAUUUGCUUUCUUUUAAUUGAAUUCUUAUAUCAUUGUCAUCAUCCUCAUGCUUAUAUUGUGAUAAAAGUCAUCUGUGGCUUAUGUGCAUAGAUGUACUAUUGAUUGGUAUGAUUGUGACCAUGGAUUAUUCAGUAUAAUCAUGACCGUAAUAUUACAAAUGAUGUGGUAAAAAUUAUCAUUGGCCUGUAGAGCAUUGAUGGACAGUUGUUGGUAUGAUUAUGACCAGGGAUUAUUCGGUAUAAUCAUAACCAUUGAUGAUUACAUGAAUAUCCUUGGCCCGUAAUGCAGGGAUGAUUCGAUGAUGUGGUUUAUUUAUUAAGCUGAGUCUCAGCGAUAAAGUUGAUGAAAAACCUUUUUAAAUCAUAGAAGAUAGUAGAUAUCAUGUUACUUGACUCUUCUAAUGGAUUUCUUGUUCCGCUGCAGUUAAACUUGAUGUUUAUUGUAUUUUAUCAGUUUAAUACUAUUGAAGGCUAACGAUAAUUUAUUCUGCAUUAUCUUAGUCAUAAUAUUUCUUACUGGGCUAGUUGAGCUCACCCUUUUGCUUUCAUUGUUCUCUUCAGGAAAUGAGAACAUAGCCGGUACUAGUCGGGGAACAGAGUGACGGUCCGAGAUGGUGGCUAUAGUAGUCCUCACUAUUUUAUAAAAUAGUGUGGUAAUAAAUGUAAUGAGGACUUCAUUUGAGUUUGAAUACUGUCUAUGAGACAAUAUUCGUGUAAAAACUCUAAGCUACACUGUUGUCGUAUUUUAUAAAAAAAAGUUUGUAUUUGAUUUAUGUACCAUAUAUUUGGCGACUCAGAAUGGGUGAUGUAUACCUAUUUUGGGGGAGUCAUAUGUAUGUUCUGAGAAGUUAUUUGGAGAUGAACCUAUGGUGAACUUAAGAAGUGAACAUGAAAGUAUCCAGAAAUGGAACUCAAUGAUGAAAUGGAAGUAAAUUCCAAGGAUACUAAUAUAGAGCAAGAAGUAGAGUCAGUAAAUGAAAAAAGGAAAAGUGCAGCAAAAGUUGUGAAUGAUCAACUAAUGAAAGAAGUAAAAGAUCUGAAGCAUAGGGUGUUUUUCUUGGAAGAAAUGUGGGAAAGGAAAAGAUUAUUGAAUAAUCAAUUGGAGAAGGCGUUAAGUGAGAUGACGGAAGAGCAUGGUGAGUUGAAUGUGAGGAUUAACGAAAUGGGAGUUAAAAGCAAUAUAACUGUUGAAGCUCAGAAUAAGAAGAGAAAAGAGAAUUGGAUUGAUAGAUAGGAAAACCAUAAGAAAAUGGUAAAUGAAUGUAAAAAUUAAGGUAGAAACCACAUUGGUGUAUGCUUGAAAGGACAGAAAGUAUGUUUUAAUUGCGGGCAAAAAGAUCAUUUUUCUCCCAACUGCCCCAACCUGAGGAAAAUAGCUUGUCUCAACUGUGGAUCAUUUGAGCAUAUAGUUAAGAAAUGUUCGAUAAAAGAACAAGUAUAAAAUGAUGUAUAAACAUAUGAAUGUUAGAGUGUUCAUGUGUUAUGUGAAUUCCAGCUUGUAAUAUAAAUAACGAGAUAUCUUUUGUAAGUCUUAACUGAUAUAUAAGUUGAGGACUCGGAUAUGUUAAUCUCAUCUUUUGUAUUAAAUAGAUAGAUGAAAUUGUAAUUAGCCAGAAGGCUAAGAAGAAAGAAGUAUAUAAGAAAGAAAGUAGUAAGAGAACAGAAGUAAGUAAAGAAAAGUAUGUAUGUUGAAGCAUAUUAAUAAAGGAUAUUUAUUAAAUAUGCUUGUGAUGAAUGUGUUAACAUUGAAUAAAAAGGAAAUAAAAUAAUAAUAGUAUUAUUUUAUUAACUAGAAGAUGUAGUCGAGAAAAAGGCAUGGAGUACAAGAGAAAAGGUUAAGAAAUGAAAGUGAGAAUGAGAAUAGGGAACAAAUUAAUCCUAUGUAUUAAUUAUGUUGAUUUGGGGUAUGAUCUAUUGUAAUUUUAUAUUAUGAAUUGUUCAAUGUUUAAGUUUUAUUCUAGAGAAUCUAGAAAGUUUUUUUGAGAAUAGAAGAUACAAGUAAGGGUUUAGUCCCUGAUGUGCAUAGUAAUAGAAAAUACUUUGUUAAGGUUGGGGAGCAUGAAGUUAUGAUGGAAUUAAUUCCAAUUUACUGUUAAUGAUUUGAUGAAAAAAUGAUUUGGUUAAUUAACCAUAGAGCAAUGUAGUAAUGCCAGAAGAAGCUAAGUGAACCUUAAUACUGUGAAAUGGUAUAAGGUAGUUUAUGGUGAUAGUAAGUUGUCGAGAUGUUCUCAUUGGUUGAGGUUGAUGAUAUAAACUAGAAAGGCUGUUAAGAAAUAAAUGUGAAGAUUAUUAAGGUUACCUUAUGAAUAUCCAAAGUAUGAAAACAGUAAUAGGUUAGAAAACCAUAAUAAAAGAAAUUAUGAGUGUUUUGUUCGGAUAAAAUACUAGGAUCAAUGAUUUCUUUAAUCUGUUGAAAGGAGUGGAGUAUUUUUUUUAGGAUAAAUUUGAGGAUCGAGUAUUAUCAGUUAAAAAUGAGUAAAGAAAAUGUUCUGAGGAUAUCACUAUGAACUUAUUAUGAUUAUUAUUAGUCUUGGUGAAGUCGUUCAGGUUGAGGAAUGCGUUAGUAGCAUUUAUAGAUUUAUUGAAUAGAGAAUUCAAGCUAUAUUGGACAAAUUGCUAAUAAUAUGUAUAGGUGAUAUCUUGGUCUAAUCUAAGACACAUGAAUAUCAAAAGGAACACUUAGGAAUUGUGUGGAAAGUAUUAAGGAAAGAGAAUCAAUAUACAAAGUUCAUAAAGUGUGGAUUAGGUAUGGAAUUAGAAGGUUCAAAGGUUGUUGAACAUUUGAUCAAGAAGUAUGGAAUUAGAAGUAAGAUGUUCAAAAGAGUCGGAUGAGGAGUUAUAUAGGGGAGAAUUGUCUAGCUAAACUACGUAGAAUGAAGAAGGCACAAUCUCAAAGAUGAGAAGUGUAGUCAGAUAAGGCAAAGAAUUGCCAAAGGUAAAGAGAAGUAUGUUUAUACUUAAUAAUGAAAAAGUGUUACGAUUUGAAGGAUUAAUUUGAUUUCCAAUAGUAUUGGAGCUAAAAUAAGAAGUCACAGGAUGUGUUAGUAAGUGUUCGACUUGACAGAGACUUGAGGCUAAAUGAUGAGGAUUAGAUGAUUUGUUAAAAAAAUCCAGGAUAGAAAUGGGAGUAUAUCAUUAGAAAUUUUGUGAAAGAAUUUCCAGUUAUGUAAAGGGAGUUCAUUGUUUUAUGAAGUAUAGUGAUCAUUUAAUGAAGUUGAUAUAAUUAAUACCAGUGAUGUAGUUAAACUUCAUGUCAAAUGGAAUUAGAAUAAUUAGUUAAACUUUAUGCUAAAAAAAAUUGUUUCAAGACAUGGAGUGUCAGUUUUGAAUGUGUUGGAUUAGAUCCGCAUUUCACGUCAAACUUUCGAGGGAGUUUACAAGAGAAAAUGGUAUCAUCCUCAAACAGAAGAGUAGAGCAAGCAGACAUGCGUGAUGCCUUAUGAAACGUUAUACAAUAGAAGAUGCAUAAUUUGUUCACGUGUCGUUAUUACGACCCUAUGAGCAAUAUUGUAAGUAUGUAAUUGAGUAGGAACCUAUCCAGGUUAAAAAGGGCUUAACAUAUGGAUAAAUUCCUAGGGAAGAGCAAAUUUUAAGAAAUAAAAUUAUAUCUUCUGUGAAGUAGUAUGGAGGAACCACAAUUAUAAGAAUAGAUCAUGAUCGUAGAAUAUCUUUGUAAUAAGAUAAUUAAUAUUUAUUAAAUAAAAUAAAUAUUUUAAUGGAAUAAAUUGUGUAUUAUGAGUUUUUAGGUUGAUUAAUGACCUAGUUUAUGUGUUACAUGACUAAAUAUGAGUGUUUAAAAUUUGUGGAAGAAAAUAAAUUUUUUCGAGAAAAACGCAAAAUCACUAUUCAUAAAUCGUAGGAAACAUUUUUUUUUUCAUUUUUUGAACUUUUCGAAUUACGGCAUAGCGUUUAUUUGGAAAAUGGAGACGAAAUCUCCAAUAACAAUAUUUUUAUCAGAAAAGACGUAAAAUCACUUUCACGCUAAAAACACAACUUCAUUUUUUAUGAAUUUUCGAAGAGUAACAUAGCGUUUAUUGGGGAAAGAUGGAACACUAGCGAAAUUAGAUUAUCGAAAAUCGAAAGUCGAUUUUUCGGCUAACCGAGCAUGUUACGAAAACGUAACCGAAAAAGUUAGAAAAAUCUAACUAGAAAGAAAUCGGGUAACCGACUUAAUUCGGGAAGUAAACCCUAAUCAAUUGUACGAAAAGGGCAAAAAGGACAUUUUGCUGACCAUAUGAAUUAUGAAAGUUAACUAAAAAGAAAAUACGAAAUUAAAUUAACUUUGGUCUAGCCAAGCCAAGGGUUUCAAUGGCUUGGCUAGAAAAGGAAAGGGGCUUGGCUAGGUUAGGGAGGCUUAAGCCUUGAAGCCAUGACUUGAAGACUUAAGCCAAUUAUUGCAAGACGUGGAGCCAAAGUGUAAGACAAACUUGGAGCCAUAGACUUGGGAGGGCAUGUGUCAUUUGUGAGAAAUUAAGCACAUUGGACAAGAGAGGAUAUAAAGGCUAUGAGUCACGAGCUAGGACGUACAAGUGUGUCUUGAAAAUUAAUUAGGAUGUGGUUAAUUGAAUGUGAAAAAGCUAAAAGGAGAAGGAAGGAAGAGGAGGGGGCUGGGCAUGUGAGGAAAGGAGAUAAGGUUGGAUGGAAAACUUCUAUAAAUGGUAAGUUUUAUCUCUUGCAAGUAUGCUUAAGCAUUAAUUCUUUGGUGGAAAUAUGUCACUUGCUAGGAAAUAAGCAUGUGAGGAAUUGAAAUAAGUGAAAGGGGAAGGAGGGACAUCCGGCCAAUUGAGGAGCAAAGGGGGGAGUAUUGUGCUGACUCACCUAGUAUAAGUGGUAAGGGUAUUAAAUUGUAGCUUAUCUUUUUUUCCAUCUUCAUCCAUAUAUAAUUUCUCAAGUGUCAUUUCUUUAUUCCUUAAUCCAUCAUGAGUUAUAUAGUCGAAUCCUAGAGUAUGGUUAGGUUAGUUGGUGGGAGAUGAGAUGAUUUAAUUCUCUACACUUAGCCAUUUCAUUCAUUUCAUUUCUUAAGUCUAGAGAGAAAAGAGAGAGCAAGAGAAAGAGAAGCAAAAGAGUUUAGUGAGAUAGAGAGAGUAGUCGAAUAGAAGAAGAAGAAGAUGGAGUAAGCUUUUCUCAAUCUUUAGCUAGCUAAGAAGGAAAAGAGGAGCAUCAAAGGUAAGAAAUCCUAGAAACUCAUCUUUUUCAUUUUAUUUCUUUUAAAAGCUUUGUAGCAUGAUAUGAAAUGCUUUGUUGUUCAAUGCUUUAGUUUGAUAAUUAUCAUUGAAGGAUCUUGGAGAGAUAAGGCCGCUUGUGGUUUAGAUAUGUUAAAUCACUUGUUAAUAUGUAUAAAAAGUGAAAAUGAAACCUAAAAUCACAAGCCUAAGCGUAAAUAAUGGAAAACAACAUAGAGGACUUUAAUAUUGGACUUAUAAAUGUUUUUUUUGUUUAUUGUUUGUGAAAUUUGACAAGAAGGAUUUUUAAAUAAGGAAGUUAUGGAGAAGUUCCAAGUGGAAUGGAGGAAAAAUACGUUAUCACGAAGUUAUGGCUAAUUUUUUCGUAAAAGGUGUCAAAUGUGAAAAAUCCUAGCUUGGUACCCUUUGUGGGCCAAAUGUAUGGGUAGUUAACGCUUCCGUGAAAUUAUUUCUUUCUGGGAUAAAUGUAGUUGGGUGAAAACGUGAAUCGUGGACUCAAGAACGAGCUCAAUCCGACUUCGGAUGAGUAAGUUACGAAGUUUAGAAAAUUGGACGUUAAAGCGUCAUUUCAGUAUAAAACUGGCUCAUGAGGGAGUUUUGAGCCGAUUUCCUGAAAAUUUAAAGAAUUGUGAAAAAAUAAAUUGUCCUGGGGGAUUUGAAGAAUUUGUUACAAGAAAGAAAUAGACACAAGAACGAUCUUAUUCCGAUAUCGAACUAGCAAGUUAUGAUGUUUCAAAGUAGACGCAUUGAAAAUUUUCAAAACUGAAAAUUUGAAAAAAUCAAACAUUUUGGCCGAACAACUCCCUGCCUCCCAGAGGCUAGAGCUCUUGUCUAGGCUUAUUUGAAGCGCCUAGAGCUCUAGCCACUUUUUAGGCCAAAAGUCAGCCUGGACAUGCUUCACUAAAUCAAGAAUAACUUUUUCAUAUGAACUCCGAUUGAAGUUAUUCAAGAUGAUUCGAAGAGAUAAGGAGUAGAACUAGAACUUUCAUUCUUUAAGUGUUGAUAAUUGAGGUCGGGAACAAUUUCCAAAUUGGGCAUUUGUAGGGCUGUUGUGCAAUAGGUGGCAAACCAUGGUAGUUUCUUUGAACUAUUGUGGUGUCGAGCCAUGUUUGACUAGCAUUUUCGAGUUCUAAACAUUGAACAUUGAGAAUAUAAUUUAGAGAAAGGUAAACCAAGGAAUGGUAGAUGUAUUGGAUGUAUUAAUUAUACUCAAUGGCGUGUCGGUUAAGCGUUCGAUGUAGAAAAGUCAGGUGCACGACGUACGAAUGUCGAAACACCGAGUCGAAUAUUAAUGAACUUAAAUAAUGCUCAGAGUUUAAUGAAACUAGCUUUAUAAAACAUGGAAUAGGAUUAUAGUAAACCUUGCGUGACAUUUAUACGUGACUAAUUGGUAUGUCUAUGUGCACUAAAUGUGCAGGACUUUUAAAGGGCGAUUAACGUCAAGGUAUAGAAGACGCUUGAGGCAAGUUUCCUAAACUUACUUCAACUUUAUUGAGCAAGUAUUCUAACUCCAUUCAAAUUUUGUUUGAAUGUCAGUUUUUGAGUAUAUAUUCUUAUGAAUAAUUCUUAUGUACGCUUCGGUUUACACAAUAUUUAUCGAUUUUGCAACCUUCAAACUUGUACAAACUCUCGAUUAAUUGUUUAAGUGUUUAGCUAUGCUAUAAUGCAUAAAUUGUUUCACGAUUUGCUAUAAUGCAUAAAUUGUUCAAGUUUUGUAAUAACAUAAACUGUUCAAGUUUUAAAGUUCUUAUACUCAUGAAUUGUUUAAGUGUUAUGUCAAUGACAAUUGUAUUGGUUAUAUACAUGUUAAAAUAUUUUAUUGAUUUGAAUACCAUUCUUUGACAUGUUAUUUGGAUUAGGUAGAGCUGUCCACCCAGAUUGUUUUGGGGUUCGGACUCCAGCCUGAGAUGAACAACCCUAAUAUUGGGGGUUUUUUUACGUCAAAAAAAUCCCGACAAACCCUUGAGGUGGUCACACAAACACAUAUAGUCGUUUAGCCAAAGUGUUAUACAACAUAGGGUACACUGGGCUGAUCACCUAACGUGCCCGUAAGCCAGAUCAGUUCAUAGUUGAAUUUCUGUUGAACCCUUGAGAGAACAAAAAUGUGCGAGGUCUUUUGACCGUUCAGUAUUUCGUUUCAAAAAUGUUAGAUAAAAAAGGAAUUUAUUAUUUUUAUUCCUAUUUAUUCGGAAUGUUUUCACAAUUAUUAUUCAAUUGUUGAAAUAGUAGCGUGAUUCUAAAUUUUGUUGUUUAUUCAAUUGUUUAUACUUGCUGAACUUUAUAGCUCACCCUUACUUUAAAUUAAAUAUUUUUCAGCGAAGCUAGAGCAGAUUGAAGGUUUCGGUAAGGACAAAGGGAAAGAAAAGGUGGACGAGUAGAAGAUAGCUGUAAAUAUUUGUAAUAAUUAGUAGUAUUGUAAUAAAUACUUAAUACUUUAUCAUGUGUUGAAGACUUAAAUGUUUGAGAACCUGGGAUUUAGAGUGAGACAUAUUAUAAUAAUUAGAAGUUGCAUUUAUGCCAUUCUGUUAGAUGAGAAGUACCAUUGAACAUUAUAUUCACAGUUUAAAGGUACUCAGAUUUGGGGCAUCACAAGCAGCGCUGCAUAGCAGCCACGCGCAUGCACAACGCGUCACACGUCGCCCGCACGCUGCCUAAUCGCUCUUAUUUCUAGCUUUGGUGAUCUCAACGCCCUUACUUUGGCACUUCUUAACUAGGUUGUAUGAACUCAGAAUUAGUCCGUUCUUGAGGCUAUAAUUGGUUGGGAUUGCACUUUACAAAACCCCACAAUAUCAUAAUUUUUUGGAAACUCUAAAUAGUCAAAACAGUGGUCCAAAAGUCCCCUCUUGCGCUGAUUUGUAGUUUGGCAGUUUUGAUGCGCCUACUUCUGAACGUCAUAACUCAUUCGUCCAACAUCGAAAUGGGUCCGUUCCGGAGGCUAUGGAUAACUAAACCAGUGUACUAUACAUACCAAAAAAUCAGAAGUUUCUAGAAACUUUAACCAGCAACGAAAGUAGGCUAAAAGUCGGCAGUCACACUAAUUUUUUUUUGUUUUUAACCUUCUUUACUAAAACGUUGACCAUAAAUUCAUUUUAGCUUCUUUUUGCUUCGUUACAAAUAAGUUAUUUCCGUAACUCAUAAGAGUACACCCCAUUAUUACAGAACUUAAUUUUCGGUUCUAGACCAUUAUAAAUUUUGGCUCAAGAACAGCCCCCAAAAAUAGUUUCAAUAAGUUCUUGUUUUUACAUGUUUUACUAGAAAAUCCGCCAUGACUUCGUUACAACGGAUUUUUAGAUUUGCGACACCAUAAAAAAGGCCUCCAAAACAAGCCCUUAACAAUCCAUAAUUCAUCCUUAUGCAUAGGUUUGUAUUUCUUUUUUCAUUUUUGCUCCAUUUUUCAUGUUGUUUAUCGGCAAUUUACAUAUAUAAACCACCUUAUACCUCCUAGAUCCUUCAUGAUCUCAAAUAAUCAUAACAACCACCAUCAAAACUAAUAAAAAACAUAACAUGAUGGAAAAUUGGUCUAAGGUUUUAAUAUUACCUCUUCUUGCUUCUUCUUGUUCUUCUUUACUUAAUCUUGAUGAUUAAAGCUUAAAGCUUGCUAGAUCCUUGCUCUUCCUUGUCCCACUUCGUGGACUCUCUCUCUUUCUCUUUAUUAAAAUAAACAAAUGGGGGAGACGAGCAAUAAAUGACUUGCUCCCUUUGGCACAAAACUUACUAUCAAUGGAAAGUUUCCAUCCUCUUUUGCCUCCCUCUCAUGCCUGGUUCCUCCCCUCCCUUUUUUCCCUUUUCUAAAUUCAAUUAACCUCAUGCCUAAUAGCUAACAAGUGACACUUGGCCUCCCUCUUCCUUUAUCAUCUUUAUCCCGUAUGCUUAAUAAACAACCACAUACCGAAUGACAUAUGCUCCCUUUUAUUCCCUUAGCCAUCCGGAUGUUCCCCCUCUU